rnacentral:rRNA from 1 species
AGUAACGCGUGAGGAACCUGCCUUCCAGAGGGGGACAACAGUUGGAAACGACUGCUAAUACCGCAUGAUGCGUUGGAGCCGCAUGACUCCGACGUCAAAGAUUUAUCGCUGGAAGAUGGCCUCGCGUCUGAUUAGCUAGUUGGUGAGGUAACGGCCCACCAAGGCGACGAUCAGUAGCCGGACUGAGAGGUUGGCCGGCCACAUUGGGACUGAGAUACGGCCCAGACUCCUACGGGAGGCAGCAG